rnacentral:tRNA from 2 species
GCCGGGGUGGCGAAACAGGCAGACGCGCUAGGUUCAGGACUUAGUGAGGAUUUACCCUCAUGCGGGUUCAAGUCCCGCCCCCGGCA